AGUGAACGCUGGCGGUAGGCCUAACACAUGCAAGUCGAACGGCAGCACAGUAAGAGCUUGCCCUUACGGUUGGCGAGUGGCGGACGGGUGAGGAAUACAUCGGCAUCUACUUUUUCGGGGGGGAUAACGUAGGGAAACUUACGAUACUACCGCAUACGACCUACGGGUGAAAGCAGGGGAUCUUCGCACCUUGCGCGUCUGAAUGAGCCGAUGUCGGAUUAGCUAGUUGGCGAGGUAAAGGCACACCAAGGCGACGAUACGUAGCUGGUCUGAGAGGAUGAUCAGCCACACUGGAACUGAGACACGGUCCAGACUCCUACGGGAGGCAGCAGUGGGGAAUAUUCGACAAUGGGCGCAAGCCUGAUCCAGCCAUGCCGCGUGAGUGAAGAAGGCCUUCGGGUUGUAAAGCCCUUUUAUUGGGAAAGAAAAGCUGCGGGUGAAUCCCCCGCUGUUCUGACGGUACCCAAUGAGUAAGCACCGGCUAACUUCGUG
rnacentral:rRNA from 1 species